rnacentral:rRNA from 1 species
GGGGCUAAGUCGUAACAAGGUAGCCGUACCGGAAGGUGCGGCUGGAUCACCUCCUUUCUGGAGCUU